rnacentral:rRNA from 1 species
ACAAACGCUGGCGGCGUGCCUAAUACAUGCAAGUCGAACGACGUAGCAAUACGGAGUGGCGCACGGGUGAGUAACACGUGGGUAAUCUGCCUUAGAGUGGGGGAUAACCAGUCGAAAGAUUGGCUAAUACCGCAUAAGACCACAAGAUCUGCGGAUCAAGGGGUUAAAGGUUUUUCGCUCUAAGAUGAGCCCGCGCAAGAUUAGCUAGUUGGUGAGGUAACGGCUCACCAAGGCGACGAUCUUUAGCUGGUCUGAGAGGAUGAUCAGCCACACUGGAACUGAGACACGGUCCAGACUCCUACGGGAGGCAGCAGUAGGGAAUAUUGCACAAUGGAGGAAACUCUGAUGCAGCGACGCCGCGUGAGCGAUGAAGGCCUUCGGGUUGUAAAGCUCUGUCGCAUGGGAAUAAGACAGUGAAUGUACCAUGCAAGAAAGGAUCGGCUAACUUCGU